rnacentral:rRNA from 1 species
CGGGGUGCAGCAGGCGCGAAAACUUUACAAUGCCGGCAACGGCGAUAAGGGAACCUCGAGUGCCAGGUUACAAAUCUGGCUGUCGUGAUGCCUAAAAAGCAUUGCAUAGCAAGGGCCGGGCAAGACCGGUGCCAGCCGCCGCGGUAACACCGGCGGCUCGAGUGGUAACCGUUAUUAUUGGGUCUAAAGGGUCUGUAGCCGGCCGGGUAAGUCUCUUGGGAAAUCUGGCAGCUUAACUGUCAGGCUUUCAGGAGAUACUGCCUGGCUCGAGGCCGGGAGAGGUGAGAGGUACUUCAGGGGUAGGGGUGAAAUCUUGUAAUCCUUGAAGGACCACCAGUGGCGAAGGCGUCUCACCAGAACGGACCUGACGGCAAGGGACGAAAGCUAGGGGCACGAACCGGAUUAGAUACCCGGGUAGUCCUAGCCGUAAACGAUACUCGCUAGGUGUCGGCCACGGUGCGACCGUGGUCGGUGCCGUAGGGAAGCCGUGAAGCGAGCCACCUGGGAAGUACGGCCGCAAGGCUGAAACUUAAAGGAAUUGGCGGGGGAGCACAAGGGCGAAUUCGCGGCC